rnacentral:SRP_RNA from 1 species
GGUCGGGUCCUGCGCAACGGCGGGUUGCAAACCCCGUCAGGCCCGGAAGGGAGCAGCGGUAGCAUCAUCGUCCGUGUGAUGCAGGCUCGCCUGACCGUC